CAGGAGAGGGCGACCCCCACUCUCAAAAACCCUUACCUUCACUAAUCUUUCAAAUUGAAGGCUCAAGCCAAGUCAAAAUCGAAAUCUGAACAUAGAAUCGUGAUCACCUCACCAAGAGGAUCAUAAGGCAAGGAAUCCGGGACGUCAAGCGGACACGCCGGAGGGGAUACUCGUGGAAAAGGUGUGCUUUAAAGGUGAUGAUGGGAGCUAACCGGAUGAUGAUCAAGCACGCUAUUAAGAACCGAACACGCAUUUUGAAAGCUUCCACUUUA